CCCUCACUCGGUUCACGUGCCCCCUCCUUUCUCAUUCUACUUCACGAUUUGAAUGUCCUAGCUACUGUCGCCUACAACUUCUUCUCCGUCACUAUCCUUCAGUUUUGCUUCUCGUCAUUCGCCCAUCUCAACGUCUCUCUGUGUCAUUUGAAGUCCAGCCGCUGUUCAUCGCACGGAAAGCCGUUGAGGAGUCUGAGCCUGUCUUCUUUCAUAUUACGCGCUAGUGUUCUCUCUGUCAAGUCGGUGUUCCUCCUUUCGCCGCAAGCUUCUUAUCAGUCACCCAAAGAUGAAGCCUCCAUGUUGCGUCGUCCAGAUCUGAAUCAAGCGAUUAGUUGCAACUCUGAGUUCCCUUUCGAGCGUCUUCUUCAAAUCUAAGCCACGAGCGCGAGUUUCCUUUCCCAGUUGGACAAACGCGUCUUCCUUCUUCCUCACCAAGCUGCGCAACUACAUUUGUGUUGUGUCCCAGAUCUCAUGGAUCUGUCUAUGUUAGUCGAGUCGCGUGAGCCAAGCCAACUCUUUGGUGAGUUUUUUAUGGGUUUUCACAUGGGUUAUUUAAGGAACUAAAUUUAGAUUAAAUUGGAAUAAAAAUUUAGAUUAUUUUCUUAUUGAUUUUGCUAUUGGAGAAGUAGCAUUUGAGUUAUUGGAAUUCACGUCGAGAUUGGAGUGGGUUUUAAGUCUCCAUUGCUUGGGUUGGUUCGUCUCAACCUUAGUUCAACCAAGGAAUUUUGUUAAUCUCGAGGAUUGUGUACCUUGAACAGUGUCUUACCGGAUCACUAGACUGAUGAGUGCAUCCUUUCGGGAUCACAAGACUAAUGUGUGCAUCCUUUAGAAUCACUAGACUGAUUGACGUAUGUCCUACAGGAUCACAAGACUGUUAUGGUGCAAGGUAAAGGUAAUACGAGAGGUAAAUCGGCGUGGGGCAAGAAGGACUCGUGAUCAUCAUAUGGGAACACUCUUUCAAAAUGCUUCCACUUAACGUUUUUACUAUUUUUCUUUUUUUGUUAAGUUUUGAUGAUUGAAAUGAGUUUCAUGUUCAGAACAUGUUUGUUUCUUAAUGACUUUAUAAACGCUACUUUUGAACGUUUAUUUUGUUUGAAAUAGGGCCAGAAUAAAGUUUCUUUGGUGUCUAUUUUAAAUAGAUUUUACGAACUUUUAUAUUUGAAUGGAGUGUCUUUGUGUUGAAGUAGUGGCCUCAGCUUGGUCUGAGGGUUGUUAUAUA